rnacentral:rRNA from 1 species
AUACGGAGGGUGCAAGCGUUACUCGGAAUCACUGGGCGUAAAGCGCGCGCAGGCGGUCUUUUAAGUUGGAUGUGAAAGCCUACGGCUCAACCGUAGAACUGCAUCCAAAACUAUUAGACUAGAGUGUGGGAGAGGAAGAUGGAAUUAGUUGUGUAGGGGUAAAAUCCGUAGAGAUAACUAGGAAUACCAAAAGCGAAGGCAAUCUUCUGGAACACUACUGACGCUGAGGCGCGAAAGCGUGGGGAGCAAACAGGAUUAGAAACCCUGUAGUCC